rnacentral:ncRNA from 2 species
CUCAGCGUGCAACAAUAAGCCGCGUAAGGCUAUGACAACGUAGGAAGCCGGUGCGAAGCCGGCGCGGUCCCGCCACUGUAAUCGGGGAGCGAACCUCAUAAGCCACGGCCAUGGGCUGGAAGGCGAGGCGAGCGGCGAUCCGAGAGCCAGGAGACUCGGGUCAUAGCGUCCUGCUAA